ACAACGGAUCUCUUGGUUCUGGCAUCGAUGAAGAACGCAGCGAAAUGCGAUACGUAAUGUGAAUUGCAGAAUUCAGUGAAUCAUCGAAUCUUUGAACGCACAUUGCGCCUAUUAGUAUUCUAGUAGGCAUGCCUGUUCGAGCGUCAUUU
rnacentral:rRNA from 1 species